rnacentral:rRNA from 1 species
CCUACGGGUGGCUGCAGUGGGGAAUAUUGCACAAUGGGGGAAACCCUGAUGCAGCAACGCCGCGUGAGUGAUGAAGGAUUUCGGUUUGUAAAGCUCUGUCUGCAGGGAAGAUAAUGACGGUACCUGAGGAAGAAGCCACGGCUAACUACGUGCCAGCAGCCGCGGUAAUACGUAGGGGGCGAGCGUUAUCCGGAUUUACUGGGCGUAAAGGGAGCGUAGGCGGACUUUUAAGUGAGAUGUGAAAUGCCCGGGCUCAACUCCAGUGCUGCAUUUCAAACUGGAAGUCUAGAGUGCAGGAGAGGUGAAUGGAAUUCCUGGUGUAGCGGUGAAAUGCGUAGAGAUUAGGAAGAACACCAGUGGCGAAGGCGAUUUACUGGACUGUAACUGACGUUGAGGCUCGAAAGCGUGGGGAGCAAACAGGAUUAGAUACCCGGGUAGUC